rnacentral:rRNA from 1 species
UACGUAGGGUGCAAGCGUUGUCCGGAAUUAUUGGGCGUAAAGAGCUCGUAGGCGGCUUGUCGCGUCGGCUGUGAAAACUCGGGGCUCAACCCCGAGCCUGCAGUCGAUACGGGCAGGCUAGAGUCCGGCAGGGGAGACUGGAAUUCCUGGUGUAGCGGUGAAAUGCGCAGAUAUCAGGAGGAACACUGGUGGCGAAGGCGGGUCUCUGGGCCGGAACUGACGCUAAGGAGCGAAAGCGUGGGGAGCGAACAGG